rnacentral:rRNA from 1 species
UACGAAGGGGGCUAGCGUUGCUCGGAAUUACUGGGCGUAAAGGGAGCGUAGGCGGAUAGUUUAGUCAGAGGUGAAAGCCCAGGGCUCAACCUUGGAAUUGCCCUUUGAUACUGGCUAUCUUGAGUAUGGAAGAGGUAUGUGGAACUCCGAGUGUAGAGGUGAAAUUCGUAGAUAUUCGGAAGAACACCAGUGGCGAAGGCGACAUACUGGUCCAUUACUGACGCUGAGGCUCGAAAGCGUGGGGAGCAAACAGG